AAGGCUCUUCUACGCAGUUUCCAGUUUCAGUUGAUGUGUUCUCUUCGAAAUUCACGAAACUUUUAGGUUUGUAAAGAUAGCUGAAGCUGUCGAAAAUGUCCAGUGAAAGCUAUCCAGAACAGCUAAAUCCCUUUGUCGAAGACGCAAACAACAUCGAAAAACGACAACCGAAGGAGCUGGAACCCUCGCAAAAUGUUUCUUUCUCGCCAUAAACGCACAUCGUCAUACGCCACUGCGCAAAUAACCAUAAGCGAGAACGUCGAGCGGGAGCCGAUCAAGUCUGUCGAUGAGCAAGUACCACCAAGUGACAGCAUUCACCGUAAGAUGUCUCGAGACACAACACCCAUCGAGUCCAAGUGCCGCACCAGUGAGUCGACAGUGCGUAGGAACAAACGACGUGCACCACUGCCGCCAUUGAUUCCCGUCCCGUGCAAGCCUUCAUCCUCUAUCGCUGCCAAGUCGAUCACGGAUCUCAGUUACUGCGAUACAAUUGAGUUGGAAACUGUUGUCACCAUCACGACAAUAACGGCGACAGUCGAUGAACGGAACGAGGUCGACCAAUUGCCAUUGCUUUUUUGCGAUUUAAAUGAUGAAGAGUCAUGAAAAAUGUUCUGGCUAACACAGAACUAUAUCUAACACAAAAGCCACCAAUCGCCUUGUUGUACAUUUUGUCAAAGCCCAUUUUGUCUACUUUACUCAAUUGUCUUUCCGAGAGUUUUCUGCGAUUUUUGUGAAUCAUCAAUACAUUUCAAUUGCCUUUUGACAAUCGACAUUUGUGUGUAUAUUCACUCUCCUCUGGUCGAUCUACAUUCGACUGGACUAGAAACCAUCAGAUUUUGAGUUAUGCGAAAGCUUUCUAAAGAAACUGAGUUGGAUCCUACGAAA